GAGACACUAGCUGCUUUGAAAAGGGAGUCUUCAACAGACUAGCCAAACAACUCAGGAUGUUUUGUGCUGGAUAAACCACACUGCUUCUGGGGAGUGCUGCUGUCACAGAAGACCUUGCAUAGUCAGGGUGAGCUGGAGAGCUCAUGGUAGCAGCCAAUAAGAGACAUUCCCAUUAAAAAAAGGUUUAUCUGAACAGAAUUCAGAGACUCAAUCUACUGGUUCC
rnacentral:lncRNA from 1 species